UACACAAAUAAAAUAUUAUAGAAUGAGAAUAAAUUGUAUAGAACGAACAUUACACUAACAAAGGAUCGAGUUAAACCGAUCUGAUCCAAAAAACCUAUACCCUAUGAGAUACCACAUUGGCAACCCAAGAAACCAAGAAAAAUUGUAGUGGUGUUGUUGACGGUAGCGGUGGUAGUGGUGGUGACGGUAACGGAGGUGGUGAUGAUGAUAAUGGUAGUGGUGGCACUAACAGUGACGUUGACGGUGGUGGUUGCGGCGAUACGGUUGUGGUAUUGACAGUGAAAAAUGAUGGUGAGUUGGUGGUGGAUGUGAUGGUGUAAAAUAUUUAGAAUAGUUAUGAUAUGAGUUGGAGUUGCAGAAAAUAAGUUGCAGUAAAAAAAAUUAAGUAUAGGAAGAGGAAGAAUGUGGGUUACAAAUAGAAGUUAAAGUUGUCUUUAUUACAUAUAUUAUACACAAUAUUGUCUUCUAAUUUUUGAGGUGUUAGUUUUCAAAUUAUUAAAAAAAUUUAGGUUUUAAUUACAAAUUUCCCUAAAUGUUUUGGCGAAGAGAGAAGAUUUGGCUUCAGGAUUUACGUAGGUUUUUUUGCUGAUGUGGCAUCAUAGUGCUUAUCUUGUCUACAUGGGUUUCUUAAUAUCGAUUUAGCCCAAAACACAUGUAAGUGGUUCUGUCGUUAUCCUUUGAUGUAGUGUGUAUGGGCUUCUUAAUAGCAUAUCAGCCCGACAAACCACAGCCCAACAAAACGGGCUUGUCAUUAAAUGAUGUGAUUAUGUAGCAUAAUUUUAGAAAGUUUGUGAACGCUGAUGUAGAUGGUUUGAGAAGCUUCAAUAUGCUUCUUUUAGUAGUGACUAGGCGAGUGCCCGCGCUACGCGCGGGUUUUUGUUGUAGAUUUUUUAUAAAGCAUCUUGAAUCUUUAAUUUGUAAGAA
rnacentral:sRNA from 1 species